rnacentral:misc_RNA from 1 species
AAGUAAAAGUCGUAACAAGGUUUCCGUAGGUGAACCUGCGGAAGGAUCAUUAAAAGAAUUAUCUCGUAGAGAUUAUUUCUAUUUGUGAUUUAAGCGAAAACAAUAUGAAUUUGGGGGGGGAUUAAACAAUGGGGCCUUUUCUAUGCGAGAGCAAAUGGAAGGAACCGGCCCCCCCCCCCAAUUCAAUGCCAAAAAUAUCCAUCUUUUUUUCAAUUUGACUGAUACAAUUUAUUUAUAUUUAUGGAUAAUUCAUAAAAUAACUUUCAACAACGGAUCUCUUGGUUCUCGCAUCGAUGAAGAACGCAGC